AGCUGUUAGCCGUUUGUAAUCAAUAGAGUUCUCGAGGUCUUUUUUUGGUUUUGCUUACCGCUGAUAUUGCCAAGCUUUUCAUGCAAAAAAAAACGCGGCACUGUUAAAAGCAUGGAAAUCGAUGCGAUCGGAGAGCCUCGUGGCCUUUCGACCGAGGCGCUCGGGAAAAACAGUGACUUUCGGCGAUUUGCGGAGCGGAUGAAGGGAAUGGGGCGAGUGUUUGCGGUGAAGUCGAAAUCAGACACCGCCCUUCGCGUCAUCAUUCCGCCGCGUGAUGAUGAGGCCGCGGAAGGGGAUCUCUCGAGGGAGUGGCUGGACUGCUGCCUACGGGAGUAUCUCGAGAGAAAGCGUCUCUUUGAAAAUCGCUUUCGCAGCCGAGCACAACUGAUGGCUCGCGUUUUGGCACUCCUUGUGCCUUUCCUCGGUGUGCUGUGGAGCAUAUGGCCCAUUUGGCGGGUGCUGAUUGACGUUGAGACGGAUGCUUACUACAAGGCUUUGGAGGUCCCCCCAACGGCGACGCCCAGCGAGAUCACGCGAGGGUAUCGCGCUAUGAUGAAGCGUUGGCAUCCAGAUAACAAUCCGACCUGUGGACAAUAUUGCCGGGAAAAGACAGAGCGCAUCAAAGAGGCAUACGACAUGCUGCUGUCUCGCAGUAACCAUCACUUGACUCUCGCAAACCAGUAUCACAAAAGUCUCAUGGCGCUGCGUUCAUUGCUGUCGUUCCGCGGGUUCCAGAUAUCCGGCGACGCGGCGAUGAAUGUCUUCAUGAUCUUACUGCGGCUGUACCCCGCCAGUGCGAGGAAGAGUGCCACGCUCAGGCUCGCGUGCAGCAUUGUCAUUUUGGUCUUUUGCACUGUGCAUGAGACCCUCUUUGUCAGCGGCUUCAGCAUUGUGACGGUUGUCGAGCUCUUUUACUACUCUCUGUCGAUGGCAAAAGCCUCUGCGCAGCAGCAGUCGAUGGAGGAGGUGCGGCGAAACUCCUAUUUUGAUGUGUUACGCGACGCGUUCGUCUUGCUGGGCUGCGCGAGUGUUGCAAGCAUUGCCGUGCGUAUGAGGGAGAAUGCCGCGAUGCCGAUGGAAGAGGCCUCCCGCAUGUUUUAUGGUAGUGUCUACGUUCUCUCGUUCCUGUACAGAUUCUCACCGAACGCGUACGACAACUUUUUAAUGCGCAAGUGCUCACUGCCGCUCACGUACUUGGACAUGACGAGUGCAAGGUUCACGUGGACGCGGUUUGCGACAAGCGAGCUGAUGUUUCUCGUCGACGAUCUGUUCGUCUUCACGUGUCGCAUCUCCAGCCCUUACCGAGUGGUGGUGUACAUCGCGCAUUUCGUUGCUCUCUGCCAGUUUUUCAUGUUACCAUGGGAUACCCCAAUCAUCAAUGGGAGGUCCAGCGCGAAAGGAAGAGCUGCUGGAAUAGAAGAGCCGAAAGCUCCGGCGUCAGCAAGUGCGAGGACCAGAGUAGCUCAAUCGACCAACAGCGAUGUCAUGGAGACGGCUGAGAAAAGCACCUUUGCCCAGUCCUACAUAACAAAGGAAGAAGAAGACGUCGUCACCGAUCUCGACAGCGAGGCGGUGUCGUGGAUGGAUAUUGCGAGCCUGAAAUACAAGGCUCUCGUCUUUGCGCUUGGCCGCAAGCACGCCCAGCAGCACGGCCAGUCGGCAGACGUCGUCGAUAUUGCGCCAAGUUCUGACUUGCAGAAUGUUUUAGUCGUCGCGUUCUCCCGAGGCGCCGGUACCGGGCCGGCUGCAUCUCAACAGAGGCUCGACGUUCUUUGUCAGGUGCGUGACCCGGAGAUGAGUCGACUUGUGGCGAUGGAACGCGGACCAAAGAUGAUGGUGCCUGCGCGCCCCAAAUCUCCGUGGAACCUGGAUCUCGCACGCAUGGAGUACCGCAAGGUCCUCGGCUCUGUUGCCCCGCUGACGAGUGCACAGGUGUGGCGAAAGCGGGCACCAGGGAGUCCGUCUGCGGGGUGGAAAGUACUAGCGACGAUGAUGUGCGUGUGGAUUGUGUUUGCCGUUGCUUGCGCUGUUGCUGGUCCCUCCCCACACGACGCUGUACGGAGCUCCAAAGGCAUCGACAGCUCUCUUCGUCCACAGCUGUUUGCCCGCUUUUUAGGGGCACUUCCGCCAACCCAUUUCGUGAACGCUUUGUCGGGAGGUCUACUGACCGUGGCGCAAAUUCCCUUCUGCACGCUGGACUGGUGGGACGCGGGGGCCACACUUGGGUUUGUACGUUAGCGGCAAGACAAGCAUCGACAGGAAAAAAAAGGUGCAGACCGUAGAUGAGUGGCACGACUGCGUGAGGGCUCUGCACAUGCGCGUCGGCAUGGCCCGCCGUCCUGUGGCAUCCGUUGGGCAGCCAGGUUCCACUGCCUAAAAGGGCAAAAACCUGCUGAAUAAUUGCCUGCAGCGC
rnacentral:misc_RNA from 1 species